CCUACGGGAGGCAGCAGUGGGGAAUAUUGCACAAUGGGGGAAACCCUGAUGCAGCGACGCCGCGUGAGUGAAGAAGUAUUUCGGUACGUAAAGCUCUAUCAGCAGGGAAGAAAAUGACGGUACCUGACUAAGAAGCCCCGGCUAACUACGUGCCAGCAGCCGCGGUAAUACGUAGGGGGCAAGCGUUAUCCGGAUUUACUGGGUGUAAAGGGAGCGUAGACGGCAGCGCAAGUCUGAAGUGAAAUCCCAGGGCUGAACCAUGGAACUGCUUUGGAAACUGUGAAGCUGGAGUGCAGGAGAGGUAAGCGGAAUUCCUGGUGUAGCGGUGAAAUGCGUAGAUAUUAGGAGGAACACCGAUGGCGAAGGCGGCUUACUGGAGCGUAACUGACGUUGAGGCUCGAAGGUGCGGGGAGCAAACAGGAUUAGAUACCCUAGUAGUC
rnacentral:rRNA from 1 species